rnacentral:rRNA from 1 species
GAGUUUGAUUAUGGCUCAGGACAAACGCUGGCGGCGUGCAUAACACAUGCAAGUCGAACGAAAUCUACAUGAUUUAGUGGCGAACGGGUGAGUAACACGUGAGAAACCUGCCUUACACAGAGGGAUAGCCGUUGGAAACGACGAUUAAUACCUCAUGACACCGUGACAUCGCAUGAUGAUGCGGUCAAAGAUUUAUCGGUGUAAGAUGGUCUCGCGCCUGAUUAGCUGGUUGGUGGGGUAACGGCCUACCAAGGCGACGAUCAGUAGCCGAUCUGAGAGGGUGGACGGCCACAUUGGGACUGAGACACGGCCCAAACUCCUACGGGAGGCAGCAGUGGGGAAUUUUGCACAAUGGGGGAAACCCUGAUGCAGCGACGCCGCGUGAACGAAGAAGGCCUUCGGGUUGUAAAGUUCUGUCCUUGGUGAAGAU